rnacentral:rRNA from 1 species
GACGAACGCUGGCGGCGUGCUUAACACAUGCAAGUCGAACGGAAAGGCCCUGCUUUUGUGGGGUGCUCGAGUGGCGAACGGGUGAGUAACACGUGAGUAACCUGCCCUUGACUUUGGGAUAACUUCAGGAAACUGGGGCUAAUACCGGAUAGGAGCUCCUGCUGCAUGGUGGGGGUUGGAAAGUUUCGGCGGUUGGGGAUGGACUCGCGGCUUAUCAGCUUGUUGGUGGGGUAGUGGCUUACCAAGGCUUUGACGGGUAGCCGGCCUGAGAGGGUGACCGGCCACAUUGGGACUGAGAUACGGCCCAGACUCCUACGGGAGGCAGCAGUGGGGAAUAUUGCACAAUGGGCGGAAGCCUGAUGCAGCAACGCCGCGUGCGGGAUGACGGCCUUCGGGUUGUAAACCGCUUUCGCCUAUGACGAAGCGUGAGUGACGGUAAUGGGUAAAGAAGAACCGGCUAACUACGUG